UACGUAGGUGGCGAGCGUUGUCCGGAUUUACUGGGCGUAAAGGGAGCGUAGGCGGACUUUUAAGUGAGAUGUGAAAUACCCGGGCUCAACUUGGGUGCUGCAUUUCAAACUGGAAGUCUAGAGUGCAGGAGAGGAGAAUGGAAUUCCUGGUGUAGCGGUGAAAUGCGCAGAUAUCAGGAGGAACACCGGUAGCGAAGGCGGCGCUCUGGGCUGGAACUGACGCUGAGGAGCGAAAGCGUGGGUAGCAAACAGGAUUAGAUA
rnacentral:rRNA from 1 species